rnacentral:rRNA from 1 species
AGGAGAACGUAUUCUUCGGAAUGCUAGUAAACUGGCGAACGGGUGAGUAACACGUAGGUAACCUACCCUAGAGACUGGGACAACUUCGGGAAACCGGAGCUAAUACCGGAUAAUGCAGCGGACCCUUUGGGGUACAGUUGUUAAAGCGGGCUUCGGCUCGCACUUUAGGAUGGGCCUGCGUCCGAUUAGCUUGUUGGUGGGGUAAUAGCCUACCAAGGCGAUGAUCGGUAGCUGGUCUGAGAGGAUGAUCAGCCACACUGGGAUUGAGAUACGGCCCAGACCUCUACGGGGGGCAGCAGUAGGGAAUUUUGCGCAAUGGGCGAAAGCCUGACGCAGCAACGCCGCGUGAUCGAUGAAGCUUCUAGGAGUGUAAAGAUCUGUCGUGAGAGAAGAAAAGUUCAAAGGUAAAUAAUUUUUGUUCUUGACGGUAUCUCACAAGAAAGCACCGGCUAACUUCGUGCCAGCAGCCGUGGUAAUACGAGGGGUGCUAGCGUUGUCCGGAAUCAUUGGGCGUAAAGGGUCCGUAGGCGGUUUGAUAAGUCAAUUGUUAAAUACAUCGGCUUAACCGGUGGAAUGCAGUUGAAACUGUCAGAAUAGAGUUUAGGAGAGGAAAGUGGAAUUUCUGGUGUAGCGGUGACAUGCGUAGAUAUCAGAAGGAACACCAAUGGCGAAGGCAACUUUCUGGCCUGAAACUGACGCUGAGGGACGAAAGCGUGGGGAGCGAACAGGAUUAGAUACCCUGGUAGUCCACGCCGUAAACGAUGAGUACUUGUUGUCGGGAGAUUCGACCCUCUCGGUAGCGGAGCUAACGCGUUAAGUACUCCGCCUGGGUACUAC